GUGAUUAUACACAAAUAUUGUAAUUUUCAAAGCACGUAAUGCAAGGGAAUGUAUGUGAGUCAUACUAUUAAUAUCUUUUAAAAUAAGAUUCAAACAAUGUGCAGUAUAAGGAGACCAAAAAUGUGAUCAUAUCUCUCGUGUAAUAAUUUCCCUGUCGCCACAUGGUUAGCUGCAUUAUCAGUUACCAUAUAAACUACAUUACGAGGUCCAACCCAUUCAACUAUCUCAGAAAACAAAUUACACAAUGUUUGAGCAUCUUUCACUAAAUCUGAUGCAUCAUAAGAUUUUUAUAAAUACAAUCCCAGAAGAACAAUAUACUAAAAAUUUAAUCAAAGUUCUAUGUCUUUGAUCGAUUCAACCAUCGGCCAUAAUUGUGCAUCCAUUAUUUAUCCACUAACUUUGAUAAGUGUCAACAAGCAAUUGGCAUUCUUU
rnacentral:lncRNA from 1 species